rnacentral:lncRNA from 1 species
UAGCCUUCAGCAUGACCUUGAAAGUUUUCUCUUCAUUUAGCUUGCUGAAUUUCAAACUCUCUGGCUCUACCUUAACUAAUAUUCCAUCAGGCUUCUUGACACGAACUGUGUAUAAUCCUGGAGUUCCCACGUUCUUUAAGGUUCUAGUCAACGUGACAUUUCCUGAGAGAUUAGGGACAGUAAUUGAAGGAUAGUUGAAAUUCAACAAACUGAUAUUCUUCGGUGGGCAAGCAUAGGGCUCUUCGAUGAAUAGUGACAUCUGGGUUGCAUUAUAGCCGAUGGAGCACAGAAAAUUCAAGUAAUCCGUGGUGGUUAAGUCAUAGACCAACCCAGGAUCCAUCGCGCGGUUUGGCCGCAGAUGUCCUGAACCAUAGUUGAAGGGGGUUGCCUCCGCAGCAGAAGCGUCGGCUAUUGGCUGUCUAGCAUUGCUACCUGUUCUAGCUGGAACAUCAUAAACAUCAAAAGUUUUGUUAGUAUGUUGAAUUUGAAGUUAAAUAAAAUCAUAAUAUAGAAACUAUAGUGGAGAGCCGACAAAUAGAAGCUGAACUACCGGUGGUCAUGAUUGCUGACUUAAUUGCGGCUGGACUCCAAUCAUGGUGCACGGUUUUGAGAAGACCAGCAAUGCCAGAAACAUGGGGGCAUGACAUUGAAGUCCCAGAUAUAAUGUUGAAGGAAAGAGGGCGCUGGUCUAUAAGCCGAGAUAAACGCCUUGGUGCUUUUGUAUAGGCAGCUAAAAUAUUGACUCCUGGUGCAGUGAUGUCUGGCUGGAUUUUUUAACAAAAUUUUGAUGUUAUGAACACAACAGAGGCAUUUAUUGUUCAAAGUCCAACAAUUUCAACACUUAAAUCAAAAUAACCAAUCAUAGAAUAGAGAAGAAUCCUGUAGCAUACCUUGAGGAUCUCUGGUGUAAUUUCAUUUGGUCCAGUUGAUGAAAAGGAAGCCAUGACUGGUGCAACCACUUUUCCAAUUUCAGUAGAGCCACUUAUAUAAGCUACCGGUGACCUGAAAAGAUAAAAACAUAUUGGUUAUAUAGAAUACUGACUUGCUACAAGAUUUGAAAGAUCGAAACCAAUCAAUUAGUACAGAGAGCUUAAUUACUUUGUGCUGUAGAUGUAAGAUAAAACGGAAAGACCAUCAAUUGCUGAGACAAGUGAAGUAGGAACAAAGAAACCUUGAGGCAUGCUUGAACUGUCUUCAGAUUGAUCAGAGAGGAUCAUCCCAACACCACCAGCCUGAGCAACCACCAAGCUCUUCUCGACAUCAGGUAUCAUACCACCAAGACAAUACACAAUCUUUCCUCUUACCUUUGUUGGGUCAAGGGAUUCGGGAUAACAUAUUUGUCUGCCGAUCACAAAUGCAUAAGGAUAUAUAUAUAUAUAUAUAUAUGUGCUCAAUUGAAUAACCAAUAAGUCAACAUGAAUCGGUUGCUUACGCAAGUUGAGCAGUGGCAUUCGCAGCUUUAGCAUCCACGGAGUAAACUAUAGGAUAAUACUUCCUAGCUGACAGGUUAUUGGUGUUAAAGCUCGUGCCCUGUUUAUAAGCGAAUUCAAAGAAUCAAGAUAUAAUGAUACGGUUGAACUAUGUCGGUUGUUGUAGAGUGUAAAUGGGACAGCUUUCUUGUUGCUCAUAUGCUAAACAUAAGAGUUAAUUGACUGGAUCAUCCACUAUACUAACCUUGAACUCCUUGUUAUUUCCGAGGACAACAUUCGAUGGAAACUCCCGAUCAAUUGUGCUAGCCGCAACGGUGAGAACCCACGGAGCUACAUUUGAAGUUGUUCCGAAGCCAAGGACUUGUCCGGAGUUCCCAGCCGAGCAAACUACAAGAAUUCCGUUCAUAACAGCCUGAAAAGAUCCAAUUGCAAUACCACUUCUGAAGUAAGGGAUAGCAACUGCCCUUCCAAGUGAAAUGGACAAAAUGUCAACCCCAUCUUCAAUAGCAGCAUCCAAGGCAGCCAAUAUAUCAGCAUCAUAGCAACUCGGCCAGCACACCUUGUAUGAAGCAACUCGUGCAUUAGGUGAUCCUCCUUUAGCUGUCCCGUAGGCUGAUCCUAGGAAAUUGGCACCUGAAACAAAGCGACCACCAGCUGUAGAUAGAGUGUGGGUACCAUGACCAUUAGUAUCUCUUGCGGUGUUGUUGGAUGAAUCAAGUGGACGGCCUAGAGCUGCCUCAUAACCCUUGUUGAAGUACCUUGCUCCGAUCAACUUCCUGUUAGUAAUGACAUUGAUUUCUUUUUUUAGAACUUGUAUCAAGAAGCAUUUUUCACUGUUCUUAGUAAUGUUAGAGAGCAGGCGAAGAAAGAAACCUAUUGCAUUUAACCCCAUCAUUUGUUUCACAAUAUCCUUUCCACCUUGUUGGAAUUGGUCCCAUUCCUUCAUCGUCGAAGCUCUCUGAUUCCGAAUUAAAAUGUUACACAAGUAAUAAGAAGCUUAAAAAAGAAAGGAGGACCAUUCAAAACCAGUUGCCGAACAGUGGAUAGCUUAAUGAAACAUUUCGAAGAUGUGUCAUCAUCCAUAAUACAUUAAGGGCAGCCGCAACGAGGAUUUAAAUAGUAACGUUCUAGAGCUAAUAAAAUACAUUAAAGGCAGUCUUUAUGGACCAUUCAAAGCUGAAGCUCGCUUGUCCAAAGAUGAAACAAAGAAGUAGUAAUUAUGAAACUAAUAAAAUACAGUUUUCCAAGUCAAACACAAGUAAGAUUACCAGUGUCAAGAUUUCCAAUAAUUACGUCUUCACCAAAUCUUGCCUUUAACCAGAUUGAAUCAGCAGGGAUUUGUCCAUUUCUCUCUAGUCCAAGAAACUCCCAUGACCGAGUUGUAUGCAACUGAUUUACUUCAUUUGGAAAAACUGAUACAACUUCCGGACGGUCUACAACGACAGGAAAGAACAGUAAAUAAUCAAAGAUCCGAGUAUAUAUUAGACUGUGAAAUGAAGCAGAAGGAAUGACAAUAUCAUCAGCUUGCCAUGUUUUCGUACUCGAUAAUUGAUCCACUUCAUCAUCUUCGAGGGUUGCAGCAAAGCCAUUGAUAUGACUUGUGUACGAAUAAAAUAUUGCUUCUUUAGCUUUCUCCUUGCUGUUUAAUUCACAAUUUAUCAGUACAGCAAUGGAGAUGGAAUAUUUAUGAAACUAGUUGUCAUUACCUUUUCAAACAAGAACCCAAUAGAUCAUAGUAGGACUCGGUCAUUCCAUCAUUCCCCAAGGUUGAAGGUUUAGAAGUGUGUGAAUUUCUCCCGAGAUACACCACAUAAGACUGAACCAUGGAAAUCAUAUAUAUAUUAUCAUUGGAAGAAUAACAGAAAACAUGCAUAGUAGUUGAGGGUAAGUUUUAACAAUACGGUGCUUAAUUCCAUGCUCUCUAGCGCCCAACCUCUUGUACAUGUCAAAACCUUGGCAUAUGCUAAGAACUUGGGCUUAAUUUAUUUUGAUCAUGGCAAGCAAAAGCAUUGCAUGUUAGAAAAGUUUAGGAUGGAAACAAAUAUGGAGUUGGCUUAGAGGCGUGAAAACACUAUCUUUAAGGUAUUUAUUUGUCCCACACAGAGACAACACCUCCAGGAUACAACUAAGCCCUCUAAACCUCUAAAAGAAUGAGAAGAUAAGACCAAGAAAAGAAUGUCUUUUUGUUGUUAUUUCUUUUUUGUAUAGUAACAUGCUUUUAUAGACUUGAAACAUAACGAUGAAACAAUAUGACUGUUCAUCAAACAUUAUGACUAUUGAUGAAAUACUAUGGUUGUUCAUCAAACAAUAUGAUUGUUGAUGAAGUAAUAUGAUUGUUCAUCAAAUAGUAUGACUAUUCAUAUUAAGUUUCAAGUUCCAAAUGAUAUUAUAAAUAUCCAUAUAAUAACAUUAGAAAGCCAAAUAAGAGAGUUUGUCCAUCAUGACUUAAAAGUAAGCAACUGAGAAAGCAAAGGACAUGAUGAUCAAAGGUCAAGAAUGAUACUUGCCUUUUUCACUGCUAAUAUUGGACUGAUCUGCAGAAAGGACAAAAGGGAGAACAGAAGCAACAGAGACGAAAUAAUCUUCAUAUUUCCUAUACUUUCGUUUUGCUAUACAAAUGAAAGGCAGCUAAUUCUACCCUUUAUAUAGGAUCGUUAUCUGAAAAUUAUCUGCGAAAAUGUCAUCGUGAUUAAUGAAAUCAAGCGCGUAUGAAGUUUUCAGAUGUUUUUUCUGGUCAAUAAAUGAUAAGUUCUGCUGCUUAGUGGAGUAGUCAGAUUAAUAGUAAAUUAUUGCAAGCCAUGCAGUAGAAAAUCUCAGGAUUGAGCAAGUCCAAGUAUCAUAUGACCAUAUAAGUCAGUAGAAAAUGUCUGCGUUGCCGACUAGCGAAAUGUAUUAAGACAUACUUGAUUAUUUUUAGGAGAAGUUACCUUUCAAACAUGUAUUAGGAAAAGAUCAACCGGGAAAUUUCGAAACUUAUGAAGUGGGUUAUCCUGUCCUUUCUAGAAUCAAAGAUUCACGAAUCGGAUAAUGAAGACAAUCACGCCUUUGAAGCAUGCGUAAUUUGGCUAGCUUCAUGUUGGUUUUAUUUUAUUUUAUUUUAUUUUUGUUUAUAUAUAUAUAUAUAUAUAUAUAUAUAUAUAUAUAUAUAUAUAUAUAUAUAUAUAUAUUUGAUUAUUUUAUUGGUUGCUUACAAUUCAAAUAAAGAAUAAAGAAAGAAGACGGACCAUCUUGGCCAGUGCUCUAAAAUAUCAUUGAAGUAGAUGUUCCUUUUGACUUACAUUUCUAACAAGAUCAAACCGAGUCAAUUCAUCCAUAUCCCAGAUCAGCCAAGUGCAAACCCAAUAGCUUAAACUGUUAGGUGAGGCUCCAAGAUAUGAUUUAUAUUAUUCUCUAACACACCCCUUCAAGUGAAAGCUCUUUGUGCUUGAAACUUGCACAGGCCCACAUUAGGCCCACAUUACCUUGUGUUUAAUUUUUAUCAAAUAAAUAGGGAUGGUGAGAUUCGAACUCGUGACCGCUUGGUCAUCAAGGCUCUGAUACCAUGUCAAAGAAUCAUCUCAACCCAAUAACUUAAGCUAUUAAGUGAGGCUCCAAGAUAUGAUUUAUAUUAUUCUCUAACACCCUCUUUUAACUAAACAGCCCGGUAUGAUAAAUUUAGAUCAAAAUCCCAUACUAAUCUCAUAACCCUUUAUUUUUUUUAUUCAUUGUAUCAAAUCCAUUUCAACCAUCCAUCCAUCCAUCCGUCCUUUACAAGAUACCCAUCGUCAAUCAGAUACAAAUUACAGUAUAACCUUGAUAAAUCAAUAACCUCAAUUAAAUGAUAUUUUUGUUAAAACUUUAAUAUCUUGAUUAAAUAAUAUUAAAAUUAAUUACUAAAUUUUUAUGGUGCCAAAGACAUACUUGGUUUUUUUUAAAAAAAAAUCUUCUCGGGAAGGGGAUGAAGGAAACAGAUAAUCAAGACAGAGUCAAACAUUUACAAAAGAAGAUUAAUAUGAAAAUUCAACAGGGUUUGAAGAUGAAAUUAGUUCCAUCAUGCAAGAUAAGAGCUUAUUAUUAAUGUCCAAUUACAAAGAUUCUGAAAUAUGAAGAAAAUCGUAAGUUCAAGUUUUGAAAAUCGUAAGUUCAAGUUUUCAAGUAUCAACCAACAAGUUAUUUUUUCUAUUAAAAGUCUUAAUAACGAAACAGACAAAAAAUAGAAUUCAAUCCGCGCAAGUUUAAACAUAAUUUUUUGAGUUGGUAAUUAUACUUCUUUGCUUCAAAAAAUAUAUCGCGACUUUUGUUUCUCUAGAAUCACGUAGAUAAUCAAAGUCUGUUCAGUAUCUGUUAUGGUUAAUGUGUUGUGAUGAUUUUGUUGUACUAUGAAAUUAAAUAUAUUAAAUUAGGUUCCUAAAAAAUAUUAAAUUGCGUGGGUAAAAACACAUUGUAGCCUACGCCACUGUACCAUAAUUCACGAUGGAUUGCCAUUGUGAUUCUUUUUCAUUGAUUAAGCUCUUUGUGGCCAAAUUGAUGGUCAAUUGACUUUGAUUUGUUUAACAAGGGCAAGAUUGAUGGAUGAAGGACUGCGGUGAAAAAGAUAGGUAAAAUAGGUGUCAACUUCAAAGUUUGCAAAAAAAUUCAAUUUGAUCUUUAUGUUUUCCCAUUUAUUUUUUCGGUCCCUUUGAUUUUCAAAACAUCAAUUUCGAUCCAAACUUUAUCUUUCUUGUUUUUUGGUUUUUCAUUUGAGAGUGGAAAGGAAAAGUCAUCAUAUUCCAAUGGUAGAGAAAGAAAGUCUCAUUGACUUCAAUUUAGACCAUGAAAAAGAUCGAUUUUGAUAUUAAUGAGUUUCAUUUGAUGAGAGAAGUAUCAUCAAAGUAUUCUUCGUCCUUCUCAUCUUCUCAAAUGAUAGAUCUAAAAUCAAAAGGUUUUUUUUUUAUUUCAAGUCGAUUUCCGGUUUUUAGGUAGGAUGUUGGGUUAUUUGAAGCCAUGCAUAUGUUUGUUAAAGUGAGGUGUAUGUUUUCUAAGUGUUUUGUAAAAAGGUUGAAAAUUAAAAUUUUUUUUUGCAAAAAAUCCAUGGAACGAAUUUUUGGUGAUCCUUCAAUCUCCUAAAAAUAGGUUUGACGCUUGCUUUUUUAUUUAUUUUUUAGAAAAACAACAAGGGCAAAUAAUAUGUCAUCAUCAUUUUUAAAAGAAACAAAAGUAAGCCCAGGCACCAGGCUUGGAUUGAAAGGCCUAUACACCUGGGUUUUUUAAGCCUAUGCACACUGGGUCACCUAGGUAAGUCCACGUGCUUGGGCUUUUUUUGUCCAUAUGUUUGGUCCUUUUAUAUCUUUCUCUUUCUAAUUCCAUCCUUUAAUUUUGAUUUUUUAUUCAUUUUUUUUUUUAAUUUUAAUGAGGUUUUUUUAUAGAAUAUGAUUUAAUUUUUACUUUGUUUACAAAUAAGAUUUGAACUUUUUUUUCAUAUUAGGAGACAUGCUUUCUAUGUGGCCUUACUUUUUAAAAAAAAUUAUUUAAUCGCUUUUGUUAACAUGUCUUUUUUUAUUAUCAUUUUAUUAAAUAAAACAGUAAUUUCAAAAAAAUAAAGUUAUUAAAAUAAUUACAUCUACAUUCACAUUCAUCUCUCAACUUUUUAAUUUAGUAUUUUGUUAAUUAUCAUUUAGUUUUUACUUGGUUUUCACGUAUAAUGAUAAUAUUUUUUUUCCUAAUAUGUGCAACAUGUAACCUUGCAUAUUUUUUUCUUCGAUUUUAUUCAAUCGUUUUUGUGUGUGUAUUUAUUUCUAUUAUUGUUUGAUUAAAUAAAAAAUAUAUUAUAAUAAAUAAAAUUAUUAAACACAACCGGGUACAUGACUUGUGAGAUUAAAUAUCUUCAUCUACAUCUAUUUCUUAAUUUUUCCAGUUUAGUCUUUAGUUAUUGUUAAUUGUUUUUGUAUUUAUUGGCUCAAAUAAUUCUCGAUUUAUUUAAUUAAAUGCAUACAAAAAUUUCUCGAUUUAUAAUUAUGAUUUUUUUAUGUAAAAUAAAGUUUGGAAAUCCUGUUAUAUUAUUUUUUUGUUAAAAAAAUUAUCCAAUCCAGCGAAAUUGUAAUCUACUCUUGUAAUGUUUAAAUUAAAACAUGAAUAGUACAAAUAUAAAUUUAAUACCUUCAAAAAAAUGAAAAUGAAUUACUUGAAAGCUUGUUUAUUUCGUUGACAAAACAAAAUUCAAUCUUAGACUAGCUAGAACAAAUUCAUUUAAUUCGAAGUUGGGUUAACUGCCUUCCUGACCACAAAAGGACUCCUAACAUGGUGCACACCAUCUGACCAUGUGAGCCCUCCAAACACAUAAGAACUGCUAAACCAAUUGUCCUUAGCCUUCAGGAUGACCUUGAAAGUUCUCUCUUCAUUUAGCUUGCUGAAUUUCAAACUCUCUGGCUCUACCUUAACUAAUAUUCCAUCAGGCUUCUUGACACGAACUGUGUAUAAUCCUGGAGUUCCCACGUUCUUUAAGGUUCUAGUCAACGUGACAUUUCCUGAGAGAUUAGGGACAGUAAUUGAAGGAUAGUUGAAAUUCAACAAACUGAUAUUCUUUGGUG